rnacentral:rRNA from 1 species
CCUACGGGUGGCAGCAGUGAGGAAUAUUGGUCAAUGGGCGGAAGCCUGAACCAGCCAAGUAGCGUGCAGGAUGACGGCCCUACGGGUUGUAAACUGCUUUUAUACGGGAAUAACGCGCCUUACGUGUAGGUCUUUGCAUGUACCGUAUGAAUAAGGACCGGCUAAUUCCGUGCCAGCAGCCGCGGUAAUACGGAGGGUCCGGGCGUUAUCCGGAGUUAUUGGGUUAAAAGGGAGCGUAGGCCGCAUGUCAAGCGUGCUGUGAAAUGUCCGGGCUCAACCCGGGCCGUGCAGGGCGAACUGGCGUGCUUGAGUCCGCGGAAAGCAGGCGGAAUUCGUCGUGUAGCGGUGAAAUGCUUAGAUAUGACGAAGAACCCCGAUUGCGAAGGCAGCUUGCUGCAGCGGAACUGACGCUGAUGCUCGAAAGCGCGGGUAUCGAACAGGAUUAGAUACCCUUGUAGUC